rnacentral:rRNA from 1 species
UACGUAGGGUGCAAGCGUUGUCCGGAAUUAUUGGGCGUAAAGAGCUCGUAGGCGGUUUGUCGCGUCGAAUGUGAAAACCCGGGGCUCAACCCCGGGCCUGCAUUCGAUACGGGCAGACUAGAGGUAUGCAGGGGAGAAUGGAAUUCCUGGUGUAGCGGUGAAAUGCGCAGAUAAUCAGGAGGAACACCGGUGGCGAAGGCGGUUCUCUGGGCAUGUCCUGACGCUGAGGAGCGAAAGUGUGGGGAGCGAACAGG